UACGUAGGGGGCUAGCGUUGUCCGGAAUCAUUGGGCGUAAAGAGCGUGUAGGCGGUCCGGUAAGUCCGCUGUGAAAGUCGGGGGCUCAACCCUCGAAUGCCGGUGGAUACUGUCGGGCUAGAGUGCGGAAGAGGCGAGUGGAAUUCCUGGUGUAGCGGUGAAAUGCGCAGAUAUCAGGAGGAACACCUAUUGCGAAGGCAGCUCGCUGGGACGUGACUGACGCUGAGACGCGAAAGCGUGGGGAGCAAACAGG
rnacentral:rRNA from 1 species